rnacentral:rRNA from 1 species
ACUCAAAGGAAUAGACGGGGGCCCGCACAAGCGGUGGAGCAUGUGGUUUAAUUCGAUGCAACGCGAAGAACCUUACCUACCCUUGACAUCCUAGGAAGGCUGCAGAGAUGUGGCUGUGCCGAAAGGAACCUAGAGACAGGUGCUGCAUGGCUGUCGUCAGCUCGUGUUGUGAGAUGUUGGGUUAAGUCCCGUAACGAGCGCAACCCUUGUCCUUAGUUACCAUCACGUAGAGGUGGGGACUCUAAGGAGACUGCUGGUGAAGAACCGGAGGAAGGUGGGGACGACGUCAAGUCAUCAUGGCCUUUAUGGGUAGGGCUACACACGUGCUACAAUGGGGCGUACAGAGGGAAGCCAACCCGCGAGGGGGAGCCGAUCCCGUAAAGCGCCUCGUAGUCCGGAUUGAAGUCUGCAACUCGACUUCAUGAAGUUGGAAUCGCUAGUAAUCGCGAAUCAGCAUGUCGCGGUGAAUACGUUCCCGGGCCUUGUACACACCGCCCGU